rnacentral:rRNA from 1 species
CCUACGGGAGGCAGCAGUGGGGGAUAUUGCACAAUGGGGGAAACCCUGAUGCAGCGACGCCGCGUGUGGGAAGACGGUCCUCUGGAUUGUAAACCACUGUCCCCAGGGACGAAGAUGACGGUACCUGGGGAGGAAGCUCCGGCUAACUACGUGCCAGCAGCCGCGGUAAGACGUAGGGGGCGAGCGUUGUCCGGAAUUACGGGGUGUAAAGGGAGCGUAGGCGGGACUGCAAGUUGGGUGUAAAAUCUACGGGCUCAACCGGUAGCCGCACUCAAAACUGCAGUUCUUGAGUGAAGUAGAGGCAGGCGGAAUGCCUAGUGUAGCGGUGAAAUGCGUAGAUAUUAGGAGGAACUCCAGUGGCGAAGGCGGCCUGCUGGGCUUUUACUGACGCUGAGGCUCGAAAGUGUGGGGAGCAAACAGGAUUAGAUACCCGAGUAGUC